ACGCGAGCUGGGUUCAGAACGUCGUGAGACAGUUCGGUCCCUAUCCGUCGCGGGCGUAGGAAAUUUGAAGGGAGCUGUCCUUAGUACGAGAGGACCGGGAUGGACCAACCUCUGGUGCACCAGUUGUUCCGCCAGGAGCAUAGCUGGGUAGCUAAGUUGGGACAGGAUAAACGCUGAAAGCAUCUAAGCGUGAAGCCUACCCUAAGAUAAGAUUUCCCAUGACGUAAGUCAGUAAGAUCCCUUGAAGAACACGAGGUUGAUAGGUGAGAGGUGUAAGUGCAGUAAUGUAUUCAGCUUACUCAUACUAAUAGAUCGAGGGCUUAAUCAA
rnacentral:rRNA from 1 species